rnacentral:lncRNA from 1 species
CAAUUAAUAUGAUUUACCUUUUAUUUUACUUGUGCCUAAUGAUUCCCUUAUGUAUGUCUUCCCUUUAAUUUUUUCUUGAUCUUUUUAUCCUUCUUUAAUGCUUAUACAAUUGUGAUCUUUUAAAUUUAAUAAAGGGGGAUAGGGUAUAGAGAGAUAUAAAGCAAAAACCUUCUUUAAAUUACAUGCAUAAAUUGAGGGGG